GGAUACUAGCUACCUUAUAGAGAUCGUAUCUUGACGGUUGAAAAUUUUUCUUCUCUCAAGACUCUUUUAGAGAAGAAGAAGAGAAUAGGAGGAUGAUGAUCUCUAUGCUAGAGAUCAUGAGAAAAAUCUUUCUUCUCUUUCCUCCUAAAAUUCAUGCACCAAAUCUCUAUGCUAGAGAUAUAAAAAUUUUUAUCCAACUCUUAGACA
rnacentral:lncRNA from 1 species